rnacentral:rRNA from 1 species
AUGAUGCCAGCUUGCUGGUGGAUUAGUGGCGAACGGGUGAGUAACACGUGAGUAACCUGCCCUUAACUCUGGGAUAAGCCUGGGAAACUGGGUCUAAUACCGGAUAUGACCUUCCAUCGCAUGGUGGUUGGUGGAAAGCUUUUUGUGGUUUUGGAUGGACUCGCGGCCUAUCAGCUUGUUGGUGAGGUAAUGGCUUACCAAGGCGACGACGGGUAGCCGGCCUGAGAGGGUGACCGGCCACACUGGGACUGAGACACGGCCCAGACUCCUACGGGAGGCAGCAGUGGGGAAUAUUGCACAAUGGGCGCAAGCCUGAUGCAGCGACGCCGCGUGAGGGAUGACGGCCUUCGGGUUGUAAACCUCUUUCAGUAGGGAAGAAGCGAAAGUGACGGUACCUGCAGAAGAAGCGCCGGCUAACUACGUGCCAGCAGCCGCGGUAAUACGUAGGGCGCAAGCGUUAUCCGGAAUUAUUGGGCGUAAAGAGCUCGUAGGCGGUUUGUCGCGUCUGCCGUGAAAGUCCGGGGCUCAACUCCGGAUCUGCGGUGGGUACGGGCAGACUAGAGUGAUGUAGGGGAGACUGGAAUUCCUGGUGGUAGCGGUGAAAUGCGCAGAUAUCAGGAGGAACACCGAUGGCGAAGGCAGGUCUCUGGGCAUUAACUGACGCUGAGGAGCGAAAGCAUGGGGAGCGAACAGGAUUAGAUACCCCUGGUAGUCCAUGCCCGUAAACGUUGGGCCACUAGGGUGUGGGGG